UACGUAGGGGGCAAGCGUUAUCCGGAAUUACUGGGUGUAAAGGGAGCGUGGACGGUAAUGUAAGUCUGGAGUGAAAGGCGGGGGCCCAACCCCCGGACUGCUCUGGAAACUAUGUUACUAGAGUGCAGGAGAGGUAAGCGGAAUUCCUAGUGUAGCGGUGAAAUGCGUAGAUAUUAGGAGGAACACCAGUGACGAAGGCGGCUUACUGGACUGUAACUGACGUUGAGGCUCGAAAGCGUGGGGAGCAAACAGG
rnacentral:rRNA from 1 species